AUUUAUAUAGUUUAAUAAAAACAUUAUAUUUUCAAUAUAAAAAUAAUUUAAAAUUAUAAAAAAUUUAUAAAUAUAUUUAUAAAUU